CUUGGGCCUGAGCUCUCAGUCUACUCUCCUCCUUUCUUUCUGUGUAGGCAGGUGAUGCGGGGAAAUAAAACUUCUAAAAGGACCUCUCGCUAUGAAGUGUGUCCAUGUGGAAGGACAAGAGAUAAUCAAGUACAAGCUUAGCCACUGAGGCCUGAGGCUGUAAGGCCAAGCGUAUUCGAGUCUCCGUAAGGAUUCCCCCAAGGUCAGCACACAACAGAGGUGCUGGCUGAGGAGCGGACAGACAGUGCCAAACCCAAAAAGGGAGAAAGAAGGACCUACAGCAUAAAAGCAAUGUCAAUGGCUUUACAAUGGAAAGAGGACUUUACAUCUGCACUGAGAAUCCCACUUUGGAAAUCUGUCAGCCCAACUGGUGUCCUGUUCCUCCCUGGGAAGAGAGAGAAGAGGAGAAGUACAAGCACAAAAUGAAGGCGGGAACUCUAGUGCUUCAAGGGGUUCUGCAAAUCACAGCAAAAGAGAAAACUCAUCCAAUUAAUGGCACCAGUGAGCUCUUACUUUGAUUAGCAGAAAAUAAAAUGG